UAAGACGAACCGUGCGAACGUUAUUCGGAAUCACUGGGCUUAAAGCGCGUGCAGGCGGUCCGGCACGUCCGCCGCUGAAAUCCCCCGGCUCAACCGGGGAACCGGCGCGGAUACGACCGGGCUCGAGGGGGGUAGGGGGAUCGGGAACUUCCGGUGGAGCGGUGAAAUGCGUUGAGAUCGGAAGGAACGCCCGUGGCGAAAGCGCGGUCCUGGACCCCACCUGACGCUGAGACGCGAAAGCCAGGGGAGCGAACGGG
rnacentral:rRNA from 1 species